AACUAACAAGGAUUCCCCUAGUAACGGCGAGCGAAGCGGGAAGAGCUCAAAUUUGAAAGCUGGCACCUUCGGUGUCCGCGUUGUAAUCUCGAGACGUGUUUUCCGUGUGGCGCUAUGGACAAGUCCCUUGGAACAGGGCAUCGUAGAGGGUGAAAAUCCCGUACUUGCCAUGGCUGUACCAUGCUUUGUGAUACACGCUCUAAGAGUCGAGUUGUUUGGGAUUGCAGCUCAAAAUGGGUGGUAGACUCCAUCUAAAGCUAAAUAUCGGGGAGAGACCGAUAGCGAACAAGUACCGUGAGGGAAAGAUGAAAAGCACUUUGGAAAGAGAGUUAAAAGUACGUGAAAUUGUCGAAAGGGAAGCGCUUGAAGUCAGCCAUGCUGCUUGAGACUCAGCCUUGCUUUUGCUUGGUGUAUUUCUCGGUAGCAAGCCAGCAUUGGUUCGAGUCGUCGGAGAAGGGUAUGAGAAAUGUGGCAUCCUCGGAUGUGUUAUAGACUUGUACUGGAUACGACGAUUUGGAUCAAGGAACGCAGUGUGCCUCUGGCGGGUCUUCGGACACCUUCACACUUAGGAUGCUGGCGUAAUGGCUUUAAGCGG
rnacentral:rRNA from 1 species